UACGUAGGGGGCAAGCGUUGUCCGGAUUUAUUGGGUUUAAAGGGUGCGUAGGCGGCCCUGUAAGUCAGUGGUGAAAUACUCUAGCUUAACUAGAGGGGUGCCAAUGAUACUGCAGGGCUUGAGUACAGAUGAGGUAGGCGGAAUUGACGGUGUAGCGGUGAAAUGCAUAGAUAUCGUCAAGAACACCGAUAGCGAAGGCAGCUUACUGGGCUGUAACUGACGCUGAUGCACGAAAGUGUGGGGAUCAAACAGG
rnacentral:rRNA from 1 species